AGUGAACGCUGGCGGUAGGCCUAACACAUGCAAGUCGAACGGCAGCACAGUAAGAGCUUGCUCUUACGGGUGGCGAGUGGCGGACGGGUGAGGAAUACAUCGGAAUCUACUUUUUCGUGGGGGAUAACGUAGGGAAACUUACGCUAAUACCGCAUACGACCUACGGGUGAAAGCAGGGGAUCUUCGGACCUUUCGCGAUUGAAUGAGCCGAUGUCGGAUUAGCUAGUUGGCGGGGUAAAGGCCCACCAAGGCGACGAUCCGUAGCUGGUCUGAGAGGAUGAUUAGCCACACUGGAACUGAGACACGGUCCAGACUCCUACGGGAGGCAGCAGUGGGGAAUAUUGGACAAUGGGCGCAAGCCUGAUCCAGCCAUACCGCGUGGGUGAAGAAGGCCUUCGGGUUGUAAAGCCCUUUUGUUGGGAAAGAAAAGCAGCAGGUUAAUACCCCGCUGUUCUGACGGUACCCAAAGAAUAAGCACCGGCUAACUUCGUG
rnacentral:rRNA from 1 species